AAGAAAAUUGAGAAAGGAAAUUGGGAAUGUGUCAAAGCGACAACAACCCGGCCAUAGAGCAGACAACAGCCGAAGGCCACCAAUGGGUCUUCAAUGUAGCGAGAAUUCCCGCACCCGUAGGUGUCCUUCAGCUGGCCCCUAAAAAUAGGUAUACUAGUACAGUGAUAAUGGACGUCAUACUAAACUCCGAAUUAUACACAAGAAACUAAAAUAAAAAAUCAUACAAGACUAACAAAGGCCAGAGGCUCCUGACUUAGGACAGGCGCAAAAUUGCGGCGGGGUUAAACAUGUUUAUGAGAUAUCAACCCUCCCC
rnacentral:lncRNA from 1 species